AACAGGAUUAGAUACCCUGGUAGUCCAUGCCGUAAACGAUGUCUACUAGCCGUUGGGGCCUUUGAGGCUUUAGUGGCGCAGCUAACGCGAUAAGUAGACCGCCUGGGGAGUACGGUCGCAAGACUAAAACUCAAAUGAAUUGACGGGGGCCCGCACAAGCGGUGGAGCAUGUGGUUUAAUUCGAUGCAACGCGAAGAACCUUACCUGGUCUUGACAUAGUAAGAACUUUCCAGAGAUGGAUUGGUGCCUUCGGGAACUUACAUACAGGUGCUGCAUGGCUGUCGUCAGCCCGUGUCGUGAGAUGUUGGGUUAAGUCCCGCAACGAGCGCAACCCUUUUCCUUAUUUGCCAGCACUUCGGGUGGGAACUUUAAGGAUACUGCCAGUGACAAACUGGAGGAAGGCGGGGACGACGUCAAGUCAUCAUGGCCCUUACGACCAGGGCUACACACGUGCUACAAUGGUCGGUACAAAGGGUUGCUACCUAGCGAUAGGAUGCUAAUCUCAAAAAGCCGAUCGUAGUCCGGAUUGGAGUCUGCAACUCGACUCCAUGAAGUCGGAAUCGCUAGUAAUCGCGGAUCAGAAUGCCGCGGUGAAUACGUUCCCGGGCCUUGUACACACCGCCCGUCACACCAUGGGAGUUUGUUGCACCAGAAGUAGGUAGUCUAACCGUAAGGAGGACGCUUACCACGGUGUGGCCGAUGACUGGGGUGAAGUCGUAACAAGGUAACC
rnacentral:rRNA from 1 species